rnacentral:lncRNA from 1 species
GACUUUUCUUCUAUCUGCCAUUUUCAUUCUUUCUAAGUUUCUCAUUGGAAUAUGAGUAAUUGGAUCCUUAAAUAUUUUUUUAUUUAAUUUAAGGAGAUGGAGACUUUCUUUUCUUCAGAAAGUCUUUGAACCGAGCAAACUAAUUGUUUACCUUAUAUUAAAAAUCAAAAUUAUCUGGCUUUUGUAUCACUUCAGAUUAUUUUAAUUAAAUAAUUAAUUUUCUCUAAUGUGGCCUUUGGGUUUCAUUUAAUAUUAACGGUUUAACUAAUAUGCUAUUAAAUUAUGAGUUUAAGUGUUAUAUAAAAAUAAAUCUUAUGAGAGAGCAAGUGAUUUUUCAGUAUAAUUUAACGGAGGAUUUUGUAAUUUGCCUUUAAAGUGAUGCUUUCUAGAGCACUGAUUAAUGGUAAUCUAAUACUUACAGGAGGCGACCCAGAAUAUUUAGAUUAGAAGAGAAUUGAUAUUUUUAUUUAUUUUUUUACCUGGCUAAACAAAAUCUGACCAUCUUAAGGAUGUGAUAAUUUACUGUCUACCAACAAAAUAUCAUUAACUAUUUAUAAACUGCUGUAUGGAAGAUUAUUACAUCAACGAAUUGAGAUCGUUCCCAAUUUUAUACUUUGUCAUACAAAAACAAGAACAAAUGGCGCUUCACUAAUGGUCCCAAGAAAACAGCUAAUGACAUUAUAUUACCAGAAACAUAACAGCCAACUUUAUGGGAGCCAUUAUACUAUAUUUUUCCAAGUUCACUGGUUAAAAAAUUUAGCAACCUGUAGGAAGCUCGUGCCGGUUCAAGCUCAGACGAGCAUCUUGAGGCAUCCCCAUUAAAUGUGCCAGCUCCAUUGGGGCUGUCUCCCUUCACCUUCUCCAUGGUGGAUCAGAGUUAUGGUUCUUAAACUGCCGUAAAGAAGAUAAUGAAAAAAAAUCUGUUUGUUAUGCAAUUGUGAUGCAAAAUUCAUAAUCUGACAGCACCGCUAGAUUUGUAGUGCAAAUCAGAGAGGGGGAGGGAGAGGAUGGACAAGGCUAUUACUCGAGGCUUGCCAAGUCCGGUAUAAUUCUUCUACAGUAUCUCUGCCCCUCUAUGGUACUCUAGUUCAGCCAAGUCCGGUAUAACUCGAGAGAGAUGAAAUGAGCUCGUUACGUUAUCUCUGCCUUGGAAUUCUUCUACUCUGGCGGAUGACUGGAUCAUUUAAAAAAUGGUUGAGUACUUGAUCGGCUUAUGUCAAGGCGUCAUGUUGUCCAAAAUGUAGAGCGACUUAUUGCCUUUAUUUUGUUUUUUUUUAAAUAAAAAAUACUUCAUUGAAUAAAAAAUUGUGUUACUGGGACAAUAAAUUCCCCGAUCUGUGUACAAGUAGUAUAGUUAUGACAACUAAA